UGGGGAAUAUUGCACAAUGGGCGCAAGCCUGAUGCAGCCAUGCCGCGUGUAUGAAGAAGGCCUUCGGGUUGUAAAGUACUUUCAGCGGGGAGGAAGGCGAUAAGGUUAAUAACCUUGUCGAUUGACGUUACCCGCAGAAGAAGCACCGGCUAACUCCGUGCCAGCAGCCGCGGUAAUACGGAGGGUGCAAGCGUUAAUCGGAAUUACUGGGCGUAAAGCGCACGCAGGCGGUCUGUCAAGUCGGAUGUGAAAUCCCCGGGCUCAACCUGGGAACUGCAUUCGAAACUGGCAGGCUAGAGUCUUGUAGAGGGGGGUAGAAUUCCAGGUGUAGCGGUGAAAUGCGUAGAGAUCUGGAGGAAUACCGGUGGCGAAGGCGGCCCCCUGGACAAAGACUGACACUCAGGUGCGAAAGCGUGGGGAGCAAACA
rnacentral:rRNA from 1 species